rnacentral:rRNA from 1 species
GAUGAACGCUAGCUACAUGCUUAACACAUGCAAGUCGAGGGGUAACGAGAGGAAAGCUUGCUUUCCUUGUCGACGACCGGCGCACGGGUGAGUAACGCGUAUCCAACCUGCCCCCAACUAGGGAAUAACCUUGCGAAAGUAAGACUAAUACCCUAUAAUUUCCUCAGAUGUCAUCUGACGAGGAAUAAUGAUUUAUCGGUUGUGUAUGGGGAUGCGUCUGAUUAGCUUGUUGGCGGGGUAACGGCCCACCAAGGCAACGAUCAGUAGGGGUUCUGAGAGGAAGGUCCCCCACAUUGGAACUGAGACACGGUCCAAACUCCUACGGGAGGCAGCAGUGAGGAAUAUUGGUCAAUGGGCGGAAGCCUGAACCAGCCAAGUAGCGUGCAGGAUGACGGCCCUAUGGGUUGUAAACUGCUUUUAUACAGGAAUAAAGUUAGCCACGUGUGGUUAUUUGUAGGUACUGUAUGAAUAAGGACCGGCUAAUUCCGUGCCAGCAGCCGCCGUAA